rnacentral:rRNA from 1 species
AGGGUUUGAUCCUGGCUCAGAUUGAACGCUGGCGGCAGGCCUAACACAUGCAAGUCGAGCGGUAACAGAACUAGCUUGCUAGUUGCUGACGAGCGGCGGACGGGUGAGUAACGCGUAGGAAUCUACCCAGUAGCGGGGGAUAGCCCAGAGAAAUUUGGAUUAAUACCGCAUACGCCCUUCGGGGGAAAGCAGGGGAUCUUCGGACCUUGUGCUAUUGGAUGAGCCUGCGUGAGAUUAGCUAGUUGGUGAGGUAAGAGCUCACCAAGGCGACGAUCUCUAGCUGGUCUGAGAGGAUGAUCAGCCACACUGGAACUGAGACACGGUCCAGACUCCUACGGGAGGCAGCAGUGGGGAAUAUUGCACAAUGGGCGCAAGCCUGAUGCAGCCAUGCCGCGUGUGUGAAGAAGGCCUUAGGGUUGUAAAGCACUUUCAGUCGUGAGGAAAGGUGUGUAGUUAAUAACUGCAUACUGUGACGUUAGCGACAGAAGAAGGACCGGCUAACUCCGUGCCAGCAGCCGCGGUAAUACGGAGGGUCCGAGCGUUAAUCGGAAUUACUGGGCGCAAAGCGCGCGUAGGUGGAUUGGUCAGUCAGAUGUGAAAGCCCUGGGCUCAACCUGGGAACUGCAUCUGAUACUGCCAGUCUAGAAUACAGUAGAGGGUAGUGGAAUUUCCUGUGUAGCGGUGAAAUGCGUAGAUAUAGGAAGGAACACCAGUGGCGAAGGCGACUACCUGGACUGAUAUUGACACUGAGGUGCGAAAGCGUGGGGGAGCAACAGGAUUAGAUACCCUGGUAGUCC